rnacentral:rRNA from 1 species
CGGUGGAGCAUGUGGUUUAAUUCGACGCAACGCGAAGAACCUUACCAGCCCUUGACAUGUACUGGAAUGCCCGCAGAGACGUGGGCAGCCGCAAGGCCAGUACACAGGUGUUGCAUGGCUGUCGUCAGCUCGUGUCGUGAGAUGUUGGGUUAAGUCCCGCAACGAGCGCAACCCUCGCCAUUAGUUGCCAUCAUUAAGUUGGGCACUCUAGUGGGACUGCCGGUGAUAAGCCGGAGGAAGGUGAGGAUGACGUCAAGUCAUCAUGGCCCUUACGGGCUGGGCUACACACGUGCUACAAUGGCGGUGACAGUGGGCAGCGAGGCAGUAAUGCCAAGCUAAUCUCAAAAAGCCGUCUCAGUUCGGAUUGAGGUCUGCAACUCGACCUCAUGAAGUCGGAAUCGCUAGUAAUCGCGCAUCAGCACGGCGCGGUGAAUACGUUCCCGGGCCUU